rnacentral:lncRNA from 1 species
UUUAUCAAUUGAGCUAAAACUUGUAGACAACUGUCGCAAUAUUUAAUAUUGUUUAAAAAAUAAUUUUGUGAUUCCAUUUGUUUUUUUCGAAUAAAUUUAUUGUUCAAAAUGUCGCUAAACAAUGACAAUAUUUGGUCAUUCCUUAAAAAAAAAAUGACAAUAUUUGGUCAUAUAAUAUAGUUUAUCUUAAUGUAUCACAUUAAUCCCGUUUAGGCCUUAAUUAGGGAAUAACACUAUAAAUAAUUGUAGUUGCAUUGCAUUAUAUAUCUGCUUGUCUUGAAAGCUUCCUUUUAAAGGCUCUAGCUAGUUGAAAGUUCGAGGUUGAGGUUUGUAUACACUUAACAAUCUCAACCUUUCUUCUGCAUAUGUUGCUUCUUUUUUCUUGCUCAAAUGAGUGUUCCAAAUUACAACUAUCGAUUGUUGUUCCUGCACAGUUUAAGUAUAUACAUAAUCAAUCAAAUUUAAGGUUUCGUACACAAAAUAAUUUUUACAAAAUCAGAAUGAAAUUGUAAUAAAGGUUGGGUUGAGUUACCUGUUGAAGGACGACACUAAAUCAGAGUGGAGACUUGAUUUGAUACGCACACUUGGACAGAAAAUAGGACUGCAAAAUCAUAGAAAUGUUAACUUUUAUAUGUUAUUGGGGUGCAAAAUUAAACCAUAGAGCUAGCUACGGUAAACUUAUAGAUCAUAUUUUAUUGAAGUGCGAUGUUAUUAAUUUUGACAUGUCUCAGUGACAUAAUAAAUACUUUUAGAUUUACAAAAAAAGUACACAUAUAUAAUUUAAUUCAAUGGUUAGUUAAAAAGUGUUUUCCUUGAUAUUGAUCAUUUAAAUUCAUUCUAUCUUGAAUAUUAAAAUGGAGAGAAAUAGUGGUGUACUGAAAUACCUGGGUAGCAAAGGAAAUGACAUGUUCAAACAAUGUUUGGCCAUCUUGUUUCAUAAAUAAAAUUAACUAAGGAAGAAGAAGAG